GAUCCUGUAGGGCUUUCCCAGUUAGCAGUGCUGUGGUUUGGGUUCCCCUUGUUUCCCCACUUUCCUUGUUGGUUUGGGUUGGAAAGGACCUUAAGCUCCUCCAGCUCCAACCCCUGCCACGGGCAGGGACCCCUUCCACUGGAGCAGCUGCUCCAAGCCCCUGUGUCCAACCUGGCCUUGAGCACUGCCAGGGAUGGGGCAGCCACAGCUUCUCUGGGCACCCUGUGCCAGCGCCUCAGCACCCUCACAGGGAACAGCUUCUGCCUUAGAUCCAACCUGAACUUCCCGUUUCAGUCUGAACCCAUCACCCCUUGUCCUGUCACUGCAGUCCCUGAUGGAGAGUCCGUCUCCAGCAUCCUUGUCCCUCAUCCAACACCCUUCAGAUACUGGAAGCUGCUUGUGUUGGGCUUGGGAUUUCGUCAGACCUUUUACCCAUGUGCAGGGUUAGAACACCCAGGUUUGGGGGGUGCUGGUGUGAGGAUGCGCUGUGGUACUUGCAGGGAUCUCAAGAGCCCUGUGCUCGGGAGGCUGGGGCAAAGGGAUGAUCCUGUCACACUGAGCUCAUGCUGGACCAGAAACCAUCUGAGGGUUUGGGGAGUGUGCCAAAGACAAGAGGAGAGUGUGGACUGCAGGAGCAUCCAUCAAACAAGCCAACAGCCAGGCUCUGGAUUUGGCUGGGGUUGGCCUCGGUUUCCGAAGGCAAGAGGCAGUUAAGUCUCUUGGAAGAAUGAAUUAAUUAGCAAAUGCCUUUGGUCAGGUCAGUGCCCUCGAGUAAAAGCGUGUUUCAUGCUUUAAAGCAGAGCCUCUGCAUGCAGGUAAGCUUUCAAAGGCUCCUAUUACCCUCAGUGUUUCACAUACAUCAUCCUGGAGGAACCCUGUCUAAAACAGAGGAGGAAAAGAGCCUCCCCCAAGGAUGGUGUUGACUCUAAGGUAGCGUUUGUAUAAGCAACAUAAUAUUGACGCAGUUGGCUGAGGUCUGGCUGGGGCUGUUGGAAAUAAACUGCUGCCUUGUUAAAUUGUCA
rnacentral:lncRNA from 14 species